rnacentral:rRNA from 1 species
GAUGAACGCUGGCGGUAUGCUUAACACAUGCAAGUUGAACGGAAGCCUAUGCUUUAGUAGCGGACGGGUGAGUAAUACGUGAGAAUCUGCCCUUGGGAGGGGAAUAACAAUUGGAAACGAUUGCUAAUGCCCCAUAUGCUUUAGAGUGAAAGAGAGUAAUCUGCCCGAGGAUGAGCUCGCGCCUGAUUAGCUAGUUGGUAGGGUAAGAGCCUACCAAGGCCACGAUCAGUAGCUGGUUUUAGAGGAUGAUCAGCCACACUGGAACUGAGACACGGUCCAGACUUCUACGGAAGGCAGCAGUGGGGAAUUUUCCGCAAUGGGCGAAAGCCUGACGGAGCAAUACCGCGUGAGGGAAGAAUGCCUGUGGGUUGUAAACCUCUUUUCUUAGAGAAGAAAUAUGACGGUAUCUAAGGAAUAAGCAUCGGCUAACUCCGUGCCAGCCGCCGCCGUAAU